rnacentral:lncRNA from 1 species
AUUCUCCUUUGACAUAAAGAAGGGAGAGUGGGAAUACCAAAUCAUCAUCUUCAGGAUUGCCGCCCUUUUCACGACUCACUCGAAGAAUCCUAUUUUCUUCUUCCAGCUGCGCACAACGUUCUUUAGCAAAAGCUAGGUCAGCUUUCACAGUCUUCAGCUCCCGAAGAAGGAGCUUUGCUUUUGCAGCCAUUGCCAUUUGCACAACGUUCUUUAGCAAAAGCUAGGUCGGCUUUCACAGUCUUCAGCUCCCGAAGAAGAAGCUUUGCUUUUGCAGCCAUUGCCAUUGCAACCUGUAACCCAAAACAGACAUAUCCUGCAUCUCACAACUAAAACAUAUAAUUUCCAAGGCAUAAAACCAGCAUUUAGGAACAUCCAAAGAAACUUCCUUCUCUAGGAUCUUCACUGAUCUUAGUGCCAGCACAGUCAGACAGAUUAAAUUCUUUUUAAAAAAAAACUCAGUACAAGAUCCUGGAUCAACAGUAUGUUUCGCAUUCUAAUGUUGACAAAGAAAGUAUGAAACCUGGAUAAUGAAAGAACCCCUUAACCCACAAGGUCCAGAAAAAAUAUUGAAAGCUGGGAAUCUUCUGGAUCCAAUCAAUUAACAAAAAGAAACAAUAAAGAAUAAAAGCAGGUAACAUCUCUAGGUCUGACAAAGUCAUGCAGUUGCACAGAUAAGCACAUCAAAGCCGCCAAGUGACUUCCAGUGACAUAAAUUAAAUCUGUUGGACUAUUUGCUUCUUUGUAGCAAAGCGACGAAAUCAAUAAAACAGAAUCGAGCAUGUAAACCACUAGAGCAUGGUAAUUUAUUGCUAAACCAGUGUCACACAGUUGCCACCUUACGUCG